UACGGAGGGUGCUAGCGUUGCUCGGAAUCACUGGGCGUAAAGCGUGCGUAGGCGGCCUUGCAAGUCUGGCGUGAAAGCCCCGGGCUCAGCCCGGGAAGUGCGCUCGAAACUGCGCGGCUCGAGUGCCGGAGGGGAGAGUGGAAUUCCUGGUGUAGCGGUGAAAUGCGUAGAUAUCAGGAGGAAUACCGGUGGCGAAAGCGACUCUCUGGACGGGAACUGACGCUGAGGCACGAAAGCGUGGGGAGCAAACAGG
rnacentral:rRNA from 1 species